UACGUAGGGUGCAAGCGUUGUCCGGAAUUAUUGGGCGUAAAGAGCUCGUAGGCGGUCUGUUGCGUCGGCUGUGAAAACCCGGGGCUCAACUCCGGGCCUGCAGCCGAGACGGGCAGACUAGAGUUCGGCAGGGGAGACUGGAAUUCCUGGUGUAGCGGUGAAAUGCGCAGAUAUCAGGAGGAACACCGGUGGCGAAGGCGGGUCUCUGGGCCGAUACUGACGCUGAGGAGCGAAAGCGUGGGGAGCGAACAGG
rnacentral:rRNA from 1 species